AACUCCGUGGCCUAGUGGUUAGGGCAUUUGCUUCAGAUGCUAGAGGUUGCAAGUUCAAACUCCAGCUGAGUCA